AUUAGUUAUGUUCUUGAAAAUAAAAAGAGUUGGCGGUAUUUUAGUCUAUUCAGAGGAACCUGUCCUAUGAUUGAUGGUCCACGAUCUUUUAUACUUAAUUUAGGAGUUUGCAUAUCGCCGUAGGUUGAAUAUUUUUUAAAAAAUUUGUAAUAUUCAAGAUUUAUAUAGUAAAGGAAUUCAGGUCAAGAUGUAGCUUAUAGUUAAGAAGAGAUGGGUUACAAUAAAUUUAUUUAAAUGGAUUUUAAUUUGAAAAGUUUGAUGAAGGUGGAUUUGAGGGUAAU
rnacentral:rRNA from 1 species